AUUGAACGCUGGCGGAAUGCUUUACACAUGCAAGUCGAACGGCAGCACGGACUUCGGUCUGGUGGCGAGUGGCGAACGGGUGAGUAAUACAUCGGAACGUGCCCAGUCGUGGGGGAUAACGUAGCGAAAGCUACGCUAAUACCGCAUACGAUCUAAGGAUGAAAGCGGGGGAUCGCAAGACCUCGCGCGAUUGGAGCGGCCGAUGGCAGAAUUAGGUAGUUGGUAGGGUAAAGGCCUACCAAGCCGAGGAUCAGUAGCUGGUCUGAGAGGACGACCAGCCACACUGGGACGGAGACACGGCCCAGACUCCAACGGGAGGCAGCAGUGGGGAAUUUUGGACAAUGGACGCAAGUAUGAUCCAGCCAUUCCGCGUGCAGGAUGAAGGCCCUCGGGUUGUAAACUGCUUUUGUACAGAACGAAAAGGCUCUGGUUAAUACCUGGAGCUCAUGACGGUACUGUAAGAAUAAGCACCGGCUAACUACGUGCCAGCAGCCGCCGUAA
rnacentral:rRNA from 1 species